GUUAUAUGGUCAAGCGAAUAAGCGCACACGGUGGAUGCCUAGGCGGUCAGAGGCGAUGAAGGACGUGGUAGCCUGCGAAAAGUGUCGGGGAGCUGGCAACAAGCUUUGAUCCGGCAAUAUCCGAAUGGGGAAACCCACUGCUUCGGCAGUAUCCUGCAGUGAAUUCAUAGCUGCUGGAAGCGAACCCGGUGAACUGAAAUAUCUAAGUAACCGGAGGAAAAGAAAUCAACCGAGAUUCCCUAAGUAGUGACGAGCGAACGGGGAGCAGCCCUUAAGCUGGAAUGGCUUUAGAAAAACAAUCUGGAAAGAUUGGCCAUAGAAGGUGAUAGCCCUGUAUUGAAAAGGGCCACUCCAGUGAAGACGAGUAGGGCGGGGCACGUGAAACCCUGUCUGAAUAUGGGGGGACCAUCCUCCAAGGCUAAAUACUCCUGACCGACCGAUAGUGAACCAGUACCGUGAGGGAAAGGCGAAAAGAACCCCGGAGAGGGGAGUGAAAUAGAUCCUGAAACCGUGUGCGUACAAGCAGUAGGAGCUCGCAAGAGUGACUGCGUACCUUUUGUAUAAUGGGUCAGCGACUUACUGUUCGUGGCAAGCUUAACCGUAUAGGGGAGGCGAAGGGAAACCGAGUCUGAUAAGGGCGCAUAGUCGCGGGCAGUAGACCCGAAACCGGGUGAUCUAGUCAUGGCCAGGGUGAAGGUGCCGUAACAGGUACUGGAGGCCCGAACCCACGUCUGUUGCAAAAGACGGGGAUGAGCUGUGAUUAGGAGUGAAAAGCUAAUCGAACCCGGAGAUAGCUGGUUCUCCUCGAAAGCUAUUUAGGUAGCGCCUCAUAUGUAUCCUCUCGGGGGUAGAGCACUGUUAUGGCUAGGGGGUCAUCGCGACUUACCAAACCAUUGCAAACUCCGAAUACCGAGACGGACUGUAUGGGAGACACACGGCGGGUGCUAACGUCCGUCGUGAAAAGGGAAACAACCCAGACCCACAGCUAAGGUCCCAAAUUCACUGCUAAGUGGAAAACGAUGUGGAAAGGCAUAGACAGCCAGGAGGUUGGCUUAGAAGCAGCCACCCUUUAAAGAAAGCGUAAUAGCUCACUGGUCGAGUCGGUCUGCGCGGAAGAUUUAACGGGGCUAAGCAGUGAACCGAAGCUUGGGGUGCAUAAAACUUGUUUUAUGCGCGGUAGAGGAGCGUUCCGUAAGCCUGCGAAGGUGGAUUGAGAAGUCUGCUGGAGGUAUCGGAAGUGCGAAUGCUGACAUGAGUAACGAUAAUGCGGGUGAAAAGCCCGCACGCCGAAAGCCCAAGGUUUCCUUGCGCAACGUUAAUCGACGCAGGGUUAGUCGGUCCCUAAGGCGAGGGCGAAAGCCGUAGUCGAUGGGAAGCAGGUUAAUAUUCCUGCACCUCGCGUGAGUGCGAUGGAGGGACGGAGAAGGUUAGGUGUACCGGGCGUUGGUUGUCCCGGGGAAAGGCGGUAGGUUUGGAUCUUUGGCAAAUCCGGGAUCCUUUAAGACCGAGCACCGAGACGAGCCUUUAUGGCGAAGUCACUGAUACCACGCUUCCAGGAAAAGCUCCUAAGCUUCAGCUCACGAAGACCGUACCGUAAACCGACACAGGUGGGUAGGAUGAGAAUUCUCAGGCGCUUGAGAGAACUCGGGUGAAGGAACUAGGCAACAUGGCACCGUAACUUCGGGAGAAGGUGCACCCUUUUUGGUGGCUCGUGCGAGCUAUAGCUGAAGAGGGUCGCAGAAACCAGGCCGCUGCGACUGUUUAUCAAAAACACAGCACUCUGCAAACACGAAAGUGGACGUAUAGGGUGUGACGCCUGCCCGGUGCUGGAAGGUUAAUUGAUGGGGUCAGCCGCAAGGCGAAGCUCUUGAUCGAAGCCCCAGUAAACGGCGGCCGUAACUAUAACGGUCCUAAGGUAGCGAAAUUCCUUGUCGGGUAAGUUCCGACCUGCACGAAUGGCGUAACGACAGCGGCGCUGUCUCCACCCGAGACUCAGUGAAAUUGAAAUCGCUGUGAAGAUGCAGCGUUCCCGUGGCAAGACGGAAAGACCCCGUGAACCUUUACUAUAGCUUUACACUGAACGUUGAGUUCGUCUGUGUAGGAUAGGUGGGAGGCUAUGAAACUGUGGCGCUAGCUGCAGUGGAGCCAUCCUUGAAAUACCACCCUGUCGUGCUUGACGUUCUAACCUAGGUCCGUUAUCCGGAUCAGGGACCGUGUAUGGUGGGUAGUUUGACUGGGGCGGUCUCCUCCUAAAGAGUAACGGAGGAGCACGAAGGUACGCUCAGCGCGGUCGGACAUCGCGCACUGUGUGCAAAGGCAUAAGCGUGCUUGACUGCAAGAUCGACGGAUCAAGCAGGUACGAAAGUAGGUCUUAGUGAUCCGGUGGUUCUGUAUGGAAGGGCCAUCGCUCAACGGAUAAAAGGUACUCCGGGGAUAACAGGCUGAUACCGCCCAAGAGUUCAUAUCGACGGCGGUGUUUGGCACCUCGAUGUCGGCUCAUCACAUCCUGGGGCUGUAGUCGGUCCCAAGGGUAUGGCUGUUCGCCAUUUAAAGUGGUACGCGAGCUGGGUUCAGAACGUCGUGAGACAGUUCGGUCCCUAUCUGCCAUGGGCGUUGGAAGUUUGAGAGGGGCUGCUCCUAGUACGAGAGGACCGGAGUGGACGAACCUCUGGUGUUCCGGUUGUCACGCCAGUGGCAUUGCCGGGUAGCUAUGUUCGGAAGCGAUAACCGCUGAAAGCAUCUAAGCGGGAAGCGCGCCUCAAGAUGAGACUUCCCGGGGCACAAGCCCCCUAAAGGAACCAUGUAGACUACGUGGUUGAUAGGUCAGGUGUGUAAGUACAGCAAUGUAUUGAGCUAACUGAUACUAAUGAUCCGUGCGGCUUGACCAUAUAACCU
rnacentral:rRNA from 1 species